GUACAAAUAAUGAAAGCAUCCAAUUCAAAACGCGAGGUUUUUGUGUAGUGUGUAUAACCGACUACGGCUGCAGAAUAUACAGUCUCUGGUGUUGAUGGAAAGGAUUGUUUACCUAGAGGCAGCUUGGUAUGACAUGUUGCAAAGCUUUCUGUUUGAUUAACAGAUAAUAAAUACUGCAGGCACUAGCAAAUUAUACUUACCUAGCAGUUGCCGUAUUCCAGCCAUGGAGUCAUAAUCUUAGAAUAAAGGUCUCGGUGUUUAGGUGAAUCUGAGGAAAGUCCAAAAUAUUGCAACAGUUUUACUGUUCCAGUUGUUAAAAUUGUAAGCAAAGACGUAUGCUGGCUUAAACACAUCAACAAGACAACAAAACACUCAUUUCAUUCAGCUGCAGAUACUUCUGUUCUCAAAUAUGUAUUGACAGUACCUGUGUCAGAUGUACUGGCAAACAUGUUAUAUCUUCAUUUUUGUCGAGCCCGCUUGCGGAAGCAAAGAUAGAUGUCCAAAUGGCUGUUCUGUGUAUGUGCGUGUGUGCGUCCGUCCGUCCGUCAGGAUUUGUUUGUCCGGACCAUAACUUUGACAUGCGUGGAGUAAUCUCGUUUAUAAUUGGCAUGAACACUUUUCUGUAGUACAAUAUGCCUGUUACAUCCAAUUUUGAGGUGUAUUUAGACCUAUCUCUACUGGUAAGGAUUUUUGUGUGGACUUAGAUUUUUUUAAAGAUUUACUUCCCUUUGUUGUUACUAUGAAUAACUUAUUUUGUAACUUUUUGCAAUCAUUUUUUAUUUGGCAUAAAUGUUUGCCUCAAUGAGACAGGGUGUCAUGUGCAACUCCUAGUCCUUUUGACAGCUGGCGGGCUUGACAUGUUGCCCAUGGGCAUCUAGUGUAAAAUUUUCCUAUAAACUGACUCUAGUACAACCAAGUACUGUCUGAUAAGAAUGUGUUAUGGCGGAUCUCGCCUCAUAAACAUACAUAUACAUAUAGACAAACACACCAAGAACAGGAGUCUGCUGCAAACCUGCUUUAUAAAUGAAGGGACAUUAGAGACUGGAUUCCUUUCCCGUACCAUGCUUAUUCAGACUGUCCUUUGAUCUUAACAGAUAAAUCUGUUUUAGUUGGACAUUCAUUUCUUUUUGUGGUUUUGCAACUUGACAUUUUAGUUGUUUCUUAGAGUUAAUGCUUUUACUUUUGAAAAUAUGAAAACAAUAUUAUUUUAAUGUGAUUUUUGCAUAUAAUGUAUGUUUGUUUGAUGAAAUGUUUAUCUUUGAAAUUUAUUUGUAAGUUAAAGAAAUGUUCAUAUAUAUAUAAUAUAUUUGAACCCACUCGCUUAGCUCAGUAGUGAAAGGGCAGAUCUACAGAUGAUGGGGUUGCGAGUUCGAUCCCCAGGCGGGCCAAAUGUUCUCCGUGACUAUUUAAUAAAAGACAUUGUGUCUGUAAUCAUUCCUCCUCCAAUCAUGUUGGGAAGUUGGCAGUUACUUGGGGAGAACAGGUUUGUACUGGUACAGCUAGAAUCCAAAAGCACUGGUUAAUUUAUUGUCCACCGUUACAUAACUGAAAUAUUGUUGAAAAAUGGAGUUAAACCCGAAAAAAAUUAAAAACAUAUUGGAAUACUGCGAAAUCAGCUCAUUGUGUGAGCAUGAAUUUUCGUGGUUUUAACCAGAAGGAUUAUUUCAUGGGGAUUUAAUGAAUGAAUUUCAUGUUUUGACAACUGGAAUUUUAUUUGUUCAUAGGAAUUAAUUUUGUGCUUUUAACCAACCACAAAUCUACUAAAAUUAGUCCUGCACAAAAAUUAAUGAUUUCACAGAAUUUAUCAUAAUUAUGCUAACCCACAAUUUUUUACAUCUAGUGUGUUGAUGUUGUGUAUUUAGUAAUUUCUGUCACCCUCCACAUCAUUUUUGAAUAUAAAAUUUAUAUUUUGUUCUUUAAUUUA